UCAACAAGUUUGCUGCCAGAGCACAGGUCAUGAAAACCACCCCUAAAGGCCAAAAUGGGAAAGGAAAAGACACACAUCAACAUCAUCAUCAUUGGACACGUCGAUUCAGGCAAGUCCACCACUACUGGCCACCAGAUCUACAAAUGUGGUGGCAUCGACAAAAGAACCAUCGAGAAAUUCAAGAAGGAGGCGGCUGAGAUGGGAAAGGGCUCCUUCAAGUAUGCCUGAAUCUUGGAUAAACUGAAAGCUGAGCGUGAACAUGGUAGCACCAUUGAUAUUUCCCUGUGGAAAUUUGAGACCAGCAAGUACUACAUCACUAUCAUUGAUGCCCCAGGACACAGAGACUUCAUCAAAAACAUGAUUACACAUCUCAGGUUGACUGUGCUGUCCACAUUGUUGCUGCUGGUGUUGGUGAAUUUGAAGCUGGUAUCUCUAAGAACAGGCAGACCCGUGAGCAUGCCCUCCUGGCUUACACACUGAGUAUGAAACAACUAAUCGUUGGCGUUAACAAAAUAAAUUCCACUGAGCCACCCCACAGCCAGAAGAGAUAUGAAGAAAUUGUUAAGGAAGUCGGCACUUACAUUAAGAAGAUUGGCUAUAAUCCUGACACAGUAGCAUUUGUGCCAAUUUCUGGUUGGAAUGGUGACAACAUGCUGGAACCAAGUGCUAACAUGCCUUGCUUCAAGGGAUGGAAAGUCACCCAUAAAGAUGGCAAUGCCAGUGGAACCACGUUGCUUGAAGCACUGGACUACAUGCUGCCACCAAGUCGUCCAACUGACAAGCUCUUGUGUCUGCCUCUGCAGGAUGUCUACAAGAUUGGUGGUAUUGGUACUGUCCCUGUGGGCCGAAUGGAGACUGGUGUUCUCAAACCUGGCAUGGUGGUCACCUUUGCUCCAGUCACCAUUACAACUGAAGUAAAGUCUGUUGAAAUCCACCAUGAAGCUUUGAGUGAAGCCCUUCUUAGGGACAACAUGGGCUUCAAUGUCAAGAAUGUGUCUGUCAAAGAUGUUCACUGUGGCAACGCGGCUGGUGACAGUAAAAAUGAUCCACCAAUGGAAGCAACUGGCUUCAUUGUUCAGAUGAUGAACCUGAACCAUCCAGGUCAAAUCAAUGCUGGCUAUGCCCCUGUACUGGAUUGUCACACGGCUCACAGUGCAUGCAAGUUUGCUGAGCUGAAGAAAAAGAUUGAUCACCAUUCUGGUAAGAAGCUGGAAGAUGGCCCUAAAUUCUGGUGAUGCUGCCAUCAUUGAUAUGGUUCCUGGCAAGCCCAUGUGUGUGCAGAACUUUUCUAACUAUCCUCUUCUGGACAUUUUGCCAUCCAUGAUAUGAGGCAGACAGUUGCUGUGGGUGUCAUCAAAGCAGUGGACAAGAAGGUUGCCGGAGCUGGCAAGGUCACCAAGUCUGCCCAGAAAGCUCAGAAGGCCAAAUUAAUAUUAUCCCUAAUACCUGCCACCCCAGUCUUAAUCAGUGGUGGAAGAAUGGAUCAGAAGGUCCACAAGAUCCUGCAUACCCUAGACCCAUACGGUACCACAUGGUUCAGGUCUGUCCUCUCACCGAGAACUGUCAAUGUUUCCAGAACAGAGGAACUCGCUGUUCCUUUUGUGAGAAAAGCUGAACUCACAGCCCCCUUCCUUACUGACUUCCCAUGCCUCUAG